rnacentral:rRNA from 1 species
AACGAACGCUGGCGGCAGGCCUAACACAUGCAAGUCGAACGCCCUAGCAAUAGGGAGUGGCAGACGGGUGAGUAACACGUGGAACGUGCCCUUCGGUUCGGAAUAACUCAGGGAAACUUGAGCUAAUACCGGAUACGUGCGAGAGCAGAAAGAUUUAUCGCCGAAGGAUCGGCCCGCGUCCGAUUAGCUAGUUGGUGAGGUAAUGGCUCACCAAGGCGACGAUCGGUAGCUGGUCUGAGAGGAUGACCAGCCACACUGGGACUGAGACACGGCCCAGACUCCUACGGGAGGCAGCAGUGGGGAAUAUUGGACAAUGGGCGCAAGCCUGAUCCAGCCAUGCCGCGUGAGUGAUGAAGGCCCUAGGGUUGUAAAGCUCUUUCGCCAGGGACGAUAGUGACGGUACCUGGAUAAGAAGCCCCGGCUAACUUCGUGCCAGCAGCCGCCGCCG